GUAUAUUCAUUUAACAGAUAUUUGUUUAAAACCGUGUUUCCCUUUGGGCAGUGCUUCAGCUGUGUCACACAAACUUUGAUAUCUUGUAUUUUCAUUAUUUGUGGUUUUUUAGUUUGACCAUGGAUUAUUUGAGUGUUAAUAGUUGGAAAUCUUAUUGAAUUGUAACUUAAUUCCAUAUGUGCUGUAAGAUGCCGAUCUUUUGAAAUUUAUUAUGCACGUGGCCUACCUUGGUGAAUGUUUCAUAUGCUUGCGAAUGUGUAUUCUGCAGUUGCUGGGUCUCGUGGUUUGUGAAUUUCAGUAGAUUGAAGUCAGUUAACAGUUUUCUCUUUCCUAACUAAUUUUUUUUUCUGUCUGCUUGUUCUAUCAGUUACUGAGAAGGGUGUUAAAAUUUCCAACUAUGAUUGAGGAUGUGUCCCUUUAGACCUCAUAGUAAGUGCAUUCACAUUUAGGAUUGUCUCGAUUAAUUGACCCACUUCUCGUACUGAAAUGUCCCUCUUUAUUUCUCUCUUUGUCUUCAGGUCUACUUUGUCAGAUACUAACAUAGCCAUGCCAGGUUUCCUGUGCUUACUGUUUGCACAGAAUAUUUUUUUCUGUCCUUUCACUUUCAACCUUUCUGUGUCUUUAUAUUUAAAAUAUGUCUCUUGUGGACAAUGUAUCACUGGGUCUUGGCAUUUUACAAUCUGACAAUCUCUGCCUUGUGAUUGGAGUGUUCAGUCCAUUUACAGUUCAUACAAUUAUUGAUAUGUUGGGUUUUAGCCUAGUAUCUUGCCUUGCCUUUGAUCUUUCUGUUGUUUCUUGUUUGCUCCUUUCUUACGGCCUUUUGCGUUAUUGAGCCUUUUUCAGUACUCCUUUAUUGGCUUUUUAGUUGUACCUCUAUGCGUAAUAUUUUUAGAGCUAACAAUAUGCAUCUUAAACUUAUGAAAGUUUACUUUAAUAUUGCAUUGCCUUGUGCUUCACAUUUCUCAUUUCUCUCCUCUCACUUCAUACCUUAACACUUCCCAUUUCCCACCUGACACUUCCUGUCUCUUGCUUCCCACUUCCUACUUCCUACUUCUUAUUUCGGAGUUUGACCUUCACAAGUGUAAUAACGUAACAAGAGAUUAAAUCCAUUCACUCUGUCUUCUUAGUGCUAUUUAUAUAUUUUAUGUCUACAUAAGUGAUAUUGUAAUACUGUCAUUUUUGCCCUAAACAGUCAACUGCCUUUAAAGUAACUUAUGAGGAAGGAAAGCACAGAACUUUAUAUUGAUUCAUUUAUUUAUCAUUUCUUUUGCUCUUUAUUCCUUUUUGUAGAUCCAAGUUUCCCUUCAACUGGAAGAACACCUUUUAGCAUUUCCUGUAGUGCAGGUCUACCAGUGACAGAUUCUGCUAGCUUGUCUAUUUGAAAAAUGUCUUUAAUUCUUGUUUUUAAAGGAUAUUUGUUGCUGGAUGUAGAAUUUUUUGUUGACAGUUUUUUCCCCUAGAGCUUGCACUUGGUUCUUUUUAUAUUUUCCAGAGUCCCUAUGUCUUCUCUCAUUGAGACUCUAUUUUUCUUUAAGUCCUUGGACCAUCUCAGGGUUGGUUUCUCUUGACUGCUUUCUUACUUGACUUUGGGUCACAUUUUCCUGUUUCUUUACAUGUCUAAAAGUUUUGGAUUAAUUCUGGGUAUGGUGGGUGAUACAUUGUGGGCUAAGGAUUCUGUUAUAUUCCGCUGCAGAGAGUUGGUUUUUGUUCUGGCAGGCAGUUCACUUAUUGACUGAUCAUCCUCAACUUGUGUAGGCUUGGCUUUGUGCUUUGUCGUGACAAAUCUUUGGAAAGUGUAACGUGUUUCUCAAGUCAUCUGAACUCGAUGAGACCAAGCACUAGACUGGGUCUCCCCUGUGGAUCUUGUUGAGGCUUGGUUUUAGGCUUUGUUAGCCUAGGUUUAGACUAGGCCGUACUCUAGGGGAUGGUCUUUACGCCUAACUUGUGGUCUUUCUGGUUUCUCAGGGUGCACUGGAUGUUAAUGAGGCCACUGAUUGUUCUUUUCUAUCUCUCUUUUGCUCUUAACCCUAUAGUGGCUGUUCUUUGUUAAUAUUUGUGUAGCUUCACCCUGUUCAUGUGAAGCCCAACCCUUUGCCAGGCACUCUUGGUGAAACCCCCCCCACAGACUGCCACCCCACUGCCAUAGCUCCCUCCUCUCCAGGGCCCUGUCCUUCAGAUUCCAACCACUUCAGCAGCUCUGAAGUCUGAUCUCUGCCUCCUCAACUGUGUGCUGUGUGAGCUUUGGCUUCUGCACAGUACUUGGAAAAUUGUCCCCAAGCAGACAGCUAGGAUGACUGUGGGGUCACCUCAUGAGUCCAUUCCUGCAGGGAUUGCACUCUCCCCUGCCGAUUGUGCAGUGCCUUAAAACAAUUCCUCAUAUGUUUUCUCGCUGUUUGCAGAGGGUGGGCUUGUCUAUAAUACCAGUUACACUGCUAUGACCAGAAACUGAAUUUCCCAACAAAUAUUUGUUAAGCAUUUAAUGUAUGUCACACGCCCCGUGAAUAUAUGAAUGAAAUGUGUGGGUUUCCUUUUAAACAAAAAAUAAGUAUACUGACAUCUAUAAGGAACCCUGGUGGCACUGUGACUAAGAGCUAUGGUGAGCUAUGGCUUCUAGUCAAAAAAAGGCUGGCAGUUUGAAUCCUCCACCUACUCCUUGGAAACCCUAUGGGGCCAUUCUAUUCUGUCCUUUAGGGUUGCUAUGAGUUGGAAUCAACUCGACAACAACGGGUUUGGUUUUUUGGUUUUGGAGCUGCUUAAGAGAAACAUUAAUAGUGAAUGAAUCCCUUUUACCUCUUUUUUUUGCCUUUGAAAAACCUUGCUCUCUUCAGUUUCUACAUGAUUUUCUUAUUUAGCACGAGUUGUUUGGGUAAAGUGGUAGAGAUGAGGACAUUACUUUUUAUACCUCAAGGAAAAAGCAGCUAUUAAAAGCUAGAUAUUACCCUAACCACAGAUUAAGCCAGACUCUCAAGUGACUGUCUUUAAAACAUCAUCAACAGGUAUAUCUGUUGAUAGUUGUAGUUAGUAUUAUGGAUUAACGAUGGUCUGAUAUUUAUAUCCGAAACAGCUCCUUCAUAACUUUUAAGGAUUGCCCAGUAAUCCAAUACAGUAUGAGGAAUACGGGCAAGAAACCGAACUAGAAAUAGUGCAUGCUCCUUUAAAAAAUAUCUUAAUAAUAUUAACUGCCAUUUAGUAUUUUUCUUCUCGCUGUCAUAGUUGCUGUCUUUGAAAUUUUUAUAGCAUUAGCCAUAAAACAGCGAUUUCUUAGUUCAAGGUAAUAGAAGUGUUGUCAGGUAGUCGGUAUUUGUUCUAAACACCCUUUGAGCCCAAAGUUAAAAAUUUCGGAUGUGACAGGUUUCCCAUAACUUCACAAACACACCAGGUUUCAACAUGGCACUCAAAAGAGGUCACUUGGAAAUUUCAUUGUACCUCUGGGGGAGAGCUGUUUUGUUCUCUUCAAGCUCAUCGUUAUUAUGGAAGCAUCUGAUCAUUUCAACGCAGGGCUUUAUUUCUAAGGCGCUGGUGGCUUCUUCCAGCUUUACUUUUCAGUCUGUAGAUAGAUGUGGAUACAGAAGUGUUAGGUGCAGGAGAGCUGUUUACCUGGAAGCCCAGAGUGAAAAUGUUUAUGAGUGUCCCUGCGAGAGGCUCUGCCAAGACCUGCUUCUCCCUAGAGAGCCAUUCCAUCCCAGGAGCACUUCUCCUAAAGUGAGAGAACUUGCCAAGCCUGAUGAUGCCAGUUGACCUGGGGCAGCCCCUGGUCCUGCUGCCACCACUGGCAAAGGCUGAGGACCCCCCAUUCCCUGGACCAGAUGCUGCCCCUCAAGGAGGUGUCUCCGGCCCUGAAACUGCCCGGCAGCUUUUUAGGCAGUUUCGAUACCAGGUGAUGUCUGGGCCCCAGGAGACCCUGAGACAGCUCCGGAAGCUGUGUUUCCAGUGGCUACAGCCGGAGGUUCACACCAAGGAGCAGAUCCUGGAGCUCCUCAUGUUGGAGCAGUUCCUGACCAUCCUGCCCGGGGAGAUCCAGACGUGGGUGCGGAAACAGUGCCCAGGCAGCGGAGAGGAGGCAGUGACCCUGGUGGAGAGCUUGAAGGGAGACCCCCGGAGACUGUGGCAGUGGAUCAGCAUCCAAGUUCUAGGACAGGAAAUCUUCUCAGAGAAGACAGAAUCUCCAAGCUGCCAGGUGGGGGAGGCUGAGUCCCAUCAUGACGUGAUGCUUCAGGAGCUGGGACUUCCGAAUUCAGCCUCAGAGCCUGCUGAGCAACCAAACCACAUUGUGAAAGAGGAAUCCGACGCUGAGCAAGAGUUAGUGAUGGUUGCCUCCCAGCUCCUUGCCCGACCUGAGGAAAGACUUGUCAGAGACCAGGACCUUGGAGCCUCACUUCCCGAAGCAUCAUCUCAGGAGCAGUGGAGGCACCUGGAUUCUACUCAAAAGGAACACUACUGGGAUCUCAUGCUGGAGACCUAUGGGAAAAUGGUCUCAGGAGGAGAUAGGCAGGAGAAUAACAAAGAGAACUUAAACUUGGAAAAUUAUAGGGAUCAGGAACCUCCAGAUGCCCCCCGUUACAUCUCAGGAGAGGUCCCUUCUCAGGCCUCCUCGAGUGGCUUCUUCAGUGAGGAUGAGCCAAGACACUUUGGAGAAGGAGAGCAUCUACGUGAGGCGCAGGGAAACCUCCAAGGAGAAGGGAGAGGGGAACAGCUCUCUCCUCAGGAAAAGAGUUCUGGGAAGCAGCCAGGCCAGCAUUUGUCAGAUUCUCACUCAGGAGACCUGUCUGUGCUGUGGGUCGAGGAGAAGCCAGAGGCCCCCCAGAAAGGUCAGCUGAGACCCCCCAUGGCCCAGAAGCUCCCUACCUGCAGAGAGUGUGGAAAAACCUUUUACAGGAAUUCUCAGCUUGUGUUUCACCAAAGGACUCACACUGGAGAGACGUACUUUCAGUGUGCCACCUGCAAAAAAGCCUUUCUGUGUAGUUCAGACUUUGUGAAGCAUCAGAGAAUCCACUCAGGAGAGAAGCCUUGCAAGUGCGAUUACUGUGGGAAAGGCUUCAGCGACUUCUUCGUAUUGCGCCAUCAUGAGAAAAUUCACACGGGAGAGAAACCAUAUAAAUGUCUCAUCUGUGAGAAAAGUUUCAUUUACAGGUCAAACUUUAAUAGACAUCAGAGGGUCCACACGGGAGAGAAACCUUAUAAAUGCUCCCGCUGUGGGAAAACCUUCAGCUGGAUCUCGAGCCUCGAUAAACAUCAAAGAUCCCACUUGGAGGCUGAUAUGAAAUGUGGCGAGUACCAGAACCAAGGUAAGUAGCAGUGACCCCCUGACCCAUCUGAGUGCUUAUGGUUGGGAGCAGGGAUAGAAAUUUUUUCACCCCACAUACUAUAAAACCAAUCCUAUUAAAGUAUAUGAUUCAGUGAUUUUUAGUAUAUUCACAAAGUGUCAAAUUCCAGAACAUUGAAAUCACCCCCCAAAAGAAACGCUGAAACCAUUAGCGGUCACCAUUAGCAGUAGGGUAUUGAAUUCUCUGUCUUUGUUGAGUUGUCUACUUCUUUUAAUUUUGUCAGUUUUUGCUUCAUGUAUUUUGGGGGCUCUGAUGUUAGGUGCGUAUAUGUUUAUAAUUGUUACAUCCUCUUGAUGGACUGACAUAUUUAUCAUUGUAAAAUAUUCUUCUUUGUCUCCAAUAACAAUUUUUGUCUUCAGGUAUGCUUUGUCUGAUACUAGUGUAGCUCCAUAGCUUUCUUUUUGUUUGCAUAGUAUGUAUUUUCUCUGUAUUUAUAAAGCGUUUGUGUUGUUGAAUCUAAAAUGUGUCUCUUAUAAGCAGCAUAUGAUUGGGUCAUUUAAAAAGUCCAUCCUACCAAUCUCUGUCUUUUAAUUGUAGUGUUUAAUCCAUUUACACUUAAUGAAAUUACUAAUAAGGUAGGAUUCACACCUGGCAUUUUGCUAGUUGUCUUCUCCUCCCAUUCCUCCAUUUCUGCCUUCCUUUGUGUUAAGUAGAUAUAUUUGACUGUACCAAUUUAAUUUCCUUGUUUUUUACCAUAGUUUUUAGUGGUUUUCUUGGGUAUUACAAUUAACAUAUUAAUUGAUAACAAUCUAGUUCAGACUAAUACCAACUUCAUUUCAUUAGAACACAAAAACUUUGCUCCUAUAUAACUCCAUUCCUUCCCUUGCUUUUGUGCUGUUGUUGUCAUACAAAUUACAUUCUUAUACAUUGCAUUCCCAUCCAUGCAAAUUUAUAAUUACUGCUUUAUGCAGUUGCCUUUAAAUUAGACAGGAUAACAAAGAGUUACAAAAAAAUAAAUACUACCUUUUAUAUUUAACUAUGUAGUUACCUUUACUAGUGCUUUUUAUUUCUUCAUGUGGAGAUACUGUCUAGUGUCCUUUCAUUUCAUUCUGAAGAACUGUCUUUAGUAUUUCCUGUAGGGCAAGUCUCCUAGUGACAGAUUCUCUCGAUUUUUGUUUUUUAAUCUGGGAAUGUGUUAAUUCCUCCUUUAUUUUUGAAAGACACUUUUCUGGACAUAGAAAUCUUGGCUAACAGUGUUUUUCUUGGCACUUUGCAUAUGUUAUGUCCCACUAUCUUCUGGCCUUUAUGAUUGCUGAUGAGAAAUCAGCUCUUAAUCUCAUUGAGAAUCCUUUAUAAAUGAUGAGUUCCUUUUCAAUUGCUGCUUUCAAGAUUCUCUCUUUGUCUUUAUCUUUCAACAGUUUGAUCAUAAUGUGUGUCUUCAUGUAAAUCACUUUGAGUUUAUCCUACUUGGAGUUUGCUGAGGUUCUUGGAUGUAUAGAUUACUGUUUUUCAUCAACUUUGGGGAGUUUUUAGCCAUUUUUUUCCCUAAUAUUCUUUCUGUUCCUUCUUCUCUUUCCUCUCUUCGUGAGACUUCCAUUAUGUAUUUGUUGAUAUGCUAAAUGGUGCUGUAGAGGUCUCUGUGGUUUGGUCCCUUUUUCUUCAUUCUUUUUCUUUCUGUUCUUAAUGCUGGAUAAUCUCAAUCAACCUAUCUUCAACUUUGAGGAUUUGUCUGUCAACUCAAAACCGCUAUUGAGUCCCUCUAGUGAAUUUUCAUUUGUGGUAGUAUACUUUUGUACUCUAGAAUUUUUUUUUUCUAUCUUUACUAAUAUUCUCUAUUUGGUGAGACAAUGUUUGCAUACUGUCCUUUAGACAUGGUUUCUUUUAGUUCUUUGAACAUUUAAAAUAGCUGAGUUAAAGUAUUUUAAUUUCUUGUUUAAUUUUUGUUUCUUUGUGUGUCUCCUAGUCUUUUUUUUGAAAAAUGGACAUUUAAAUAAUACAGUGUGGCAACUCUUGAAAUCAGAUUCUCCCCCUCCCUAGCGUUUGUUGUUGUAUGUUUGUUUAGUGACUUUUCUGAAUUGAUUACCUGUAAAGGUUGUGUGCUUUGUCAUGUGUGGUCACUGAACUGCCAUGCUUGGUUAGCUUAGCAGCCAGCAAAUGAUUGGACAGAGAUUUAUUUAAAUGUGUGGAACCAGUAAGUCUCCCUGUCUUUGCUGAGGGGCUCUGUGUGUGUUUUGGGACAUGUCUUCAAUUCUAAAACAAACGGGUUACAGCUCUGUCUUAGUUUUUACUUCCUGCUUGCAGAGAGCCUCAACAUUAGACAGAGAUGUGAACUUAGGACCUAAUUUAGUCUUUCUUGAGCAUGUGCACAGUCCUGUACAUGGGUAUUGACUUUUACAUUCCCAUGGAUAUGUCAGAGCUUUUUAAAACCUCUACUGCUUGCGUAGAGCCUCAAGAUUAGCCAGAAAUGUGAGUUUACAAUGUUAUUAUGUCUUUUUUGGGCAUGUGUACAGCUCUGGGCAUGUACACAGUCCUGUACAUGGAUAUUGCCUUCUAGAUUCCCAUGGAUAUGUCAAAGCUUUUUAAAACCAACUAUGGACUUCAUGGCUGGCACAAAUGGUUAUGUGCUCAAAUACUAACUGAAAGGUUGGUGGUUUCAACCCAUCAGAGGAGCUUUGGAAGAAGGACCUGGCAAUCUCCUUCCAAAAGGUCUCGGCCUUGUAAACCCUAUGGAGUGCAGCUCUACUGUGCAACACAUGGGAUUGCCUGGAGUUGGAAUCAAUUAUAUGUCAACUGGUUUCAUUUUUUUUUAAAUCAGCAUCUGUUUCCCAGCUUUUUCUUUUAAGCUUUUUGAUUAUUCUAUUGUUUGCCCCACUGUCUCAGGCAGUCUCUUUGUUAAACAGUUGACUUUCAUUGUUUUUCACAAAUGCCCCUGGUAAAAUUUUUCUGAGAAUGGGGUUUUGAAAGUGCUCUGGCCGUGUUUUACUUUUUUCGGUAACUGCCAGGCUUCUAGUUUUCGUUGUGAUUCCAGGUUGUUGGUUUUUAAGGCUGCUCCAGAGCUGGGAAUAGGGCAAGUUAAAAGGUCACAAAACUUGUUCUUUUACUGAGGUUCAGUCAAUUUUCUUCAGAAAGCAUUCCCUGUAUUGCUGUAAACCUUUGGUUAAUUUCCAGAGUUCUGAAAAAUUUGGUUCAAUGUUCUCAUUGUUUUAUGGAUGAGAGGAUUUUUUGGAGGUCCUUAGUCUAUCAUUUUGCUGACAUUAUGGGACACUUGAUCAAAGUAAAAAAACUGUUCCAUGGUCCAGUUUCUGACUCAUCUUAAUUUCUUCUUCUUGCUGACAGGCUGAUAACCUUUACACAGAUCCAAGCCUGUAACCCAGGAAUAUUUGCCCUGUUGUUAGUUAAGACAGGAGGUGCCAGCAGGUCACCAGUAUAUUCCAUUAGGACUUGUAACGGGGAUGGCUGUCCCAUCCCAAUGUGUAGGAUGUUGUGAGGAAAUAUUUGCCCAAAGCAAAACAUUUUUACAAUCUAUUCUUAAAAUAUUUUUUGUAGUCAUUCUGUAACUGAUCACCUCCUUCCUGGCAUGCCUGCCUGUAAUUUACCCUUGUAGCAAAUCAUGUAAAUCCAUUUAUAGCAUUGUAACCAAUCUAAGGAAAAGUGUCACUUUGAAAUGUCCUGCCCCAACCUCAUUGACAGCUUUUAAACCAAUCUGAAUAUUGGAAUCUAACUUUCUCCUUUAACCUUAUAAUAAUGGUUUCAGUACCACCCCUCUGGAUUCACAGUGUUCACUUACAGGAGGACUGUGAUUCCUGACUCAAAUGUUUUUGUCCUUUCACAAAUCCUUGUGCUUGAUUUAACAUAAUCUGAGAGUUUUGUUCUCCGAGACGUUUUGGAAUACUCUACAGGAUUUGGAGCCGUCUUUCCUCCUAGCAGACCCCCAAGGGACGAGGAUUGGAGCCAGUAGCUGGCAUGGGACUUUUUGAGCAUGUUUCAUUUUUGCGCACCCCAUAGACACCAGGAGGUAAGCGCUCCCACAUUCGAACCCCAUAAUUUGCAGUCUGGUUUCAGGAUGUAUUGAUAAGCUUUCUUUAUUUUUGUUUCUCUUGCUUUUACUUUUGUUCCUACCCAUGAACUGGACAUUUUGGAGAACUUCCUUUUCUAACAGACUUUCCUCAUUUGUGAGGAAAGGCUGUCAUCUCCUGGCAUGUUUUGGUAACACAGCAGGACUUACUAUACUUUCUCUAGGGGCACAUCAGGUUUUAGUGUGCCUUGUUGGCACGUGCUUCUGUUAGUAAGAUGGAUAAUGCCAUAUCUAAGGACUGCUCAGGGCCACUGCCCAGAACUCCGCCGCAUAUGUGGCCUCGAUACUGUUUUACAUAGUGGUUGUUAGCAUUCUAUUACUAGAAAAAAUUUAAAUAAUUCAUGGCCAUUUGGGACAGAUUUGACCUAGGAAAAUUAACAUCUCUGUGCUGUAAAUUGGAAAAUAGGGGUAUCCAGAUAAAGCCAGCCCAACGGGAAGCUUAUUUUCACUGGUAUUUAGAAGAUCCCAAAAGGAAUUAGGAAAGUAAAUUUGCUUCUUUAAAGAUACAGUGUCUAAAUAGGCACAACAAAUUUAAGAGCUCCAGUGUUGGACCCCUAUCCCUUUGUCUUAUCCCUUCUUUGGCCAGCCUUUCUCCCUCUGCCCCACCUUCUCCCUCUGUUACCCUGGCAGCUGCCUCUAUCUAUCCAACUUUGCCUUCCUAUUCUGAAAAUCUUUUACCAGAACUCCCUAAGGACUCUAUCGAAAACCCUUUAACCCAGCUUUCCUACUAUCCUGAAGAUGCUCCAAAAGAAACCACUUCAGAGCCUAAACCCAUUUCAGAAAUACCUUUUUAAAUUCCUCCUACCCUUUUAAAAUUAGAUCCCCUGAAAUUUCUGGAGAUCCUCCCCAACUAAUUUUUUCCCCUCGGUCAAAGGCUGAACUCCAUGCUGUUAUAAAGGAGUUCCAUAACAAUCAUGAGGAUUCCUACAAAUUUACUGAAUAAUUUAGAAUUUUGACUGCAACCUAUCAACCUGGGUUACCUAACCUUCAUCAAUUUAAAUGCAUAUGUUAAUGGGACCUGGGGAUGCUCAUUUAUGGAUGAUGAAUGCUGGCUGGUGAAGCUCUGAGUGAUCUUUAUUUAUGAAGCCAAUAACUUCAUCCAAGGACCUUUUAAAAGAGUCCACAGUAAUGGCUAGGAGAUUGCUAAAAGCUGUUCCCAAAGCCUUCCCCCAGAAAAAAUGAUUUGUCCAAAGUCCAUCUUGUAAUCAAGGAAAAGAUGAAAUUGUUUACAAUCGUUGUGACAGGUUAGCAAGAGUUUUUGUGGAGCGCUCUGACUUGUCCUUAGCUGAACCAGGAGCCAAAGUUGCCUUUAACUGUAUAUUUCUACAUGAGCUCCACCUAGAAAUUGUUAACUUUGCUAAAUACUAUCAACUAGAUUGGGAAACUACCCAUGUUACCAAUCUAACUCACCUUGCCUACAAAGUGUCUCAAACUUUAGAACCGGGGCAGCAGGUUAGACAGAAUAAGCUAUUGACCUCUUAACUACAACACAACAAAUUGAUGGCUUCACAAUUACAAUCUACAAUUUAACAAACCUAGGGGUUCUUGUUGGGAGCAAACUAAGGAUUCCUCAAUCUGGGGUCACGGAAAUUUGCUAGUUUUUUAAAAAGCCUGCUCAUUUUAAGAGGGAUCGUCUUAAAGAUUAAACUGGGCAUUUUACAAUUUGCCCCACCAAAGCCUGAAUGAAGGGGCUCUGGGGGCAAAAUAGAGGAUUUUCCAAUGGUGGCCCUAGCGUCUCAAGGAAAAACUAUUGUUAAAGUUAAUUGGGAAAAUUGCAAAUUCCUUGUGAAUACAGGGACAACUCUCUCAGUCAUAAAACCUGAAUUCUUGCAAAAGCCUCUACCCUGGAGUAACGAAACCUCUAAGAUUGUGGGGGCCUCAAAUAAUGAGCAGAUUUUAAUACAUUCCUAGCCUAUCAUCAUUUCCUUGGGACCUGUCAAGGAAUGAACCCCUUCUUAUUAAGUCCAAAUACUCCUGUGAAUUUGUUAGGCAGAGAAUUUAAAAAAAAAUUUUUUUGUUUGUUCUUUAACUGAAACUUUACAAAUAAAGUCAGAAUCUUGCUAUAUACUCGUAGUUGCUCUCCCCCAAUGAGACAGCACAUUCUUUCUCUCCACCCUGUAUCCCUGUGUCCAUUCAGCCAGCUUCUGUCCCCCUCUGCCUUCUCAUCUCCCCUCCAGACAGGACCUGCACACAUAGUCUCAUGUGUUUACAUGAUCUUUGAGAAGCUCACUCCUAAUCAGUAUCAUUUUCUAUCUUAUAAAAAUAUAGUCCAGUCUAAUCCCUGUCUGAAGAGUUGGCUUUGGGAAUGGUUCUAGUCUUGGGCUAACAGAAGGUCUGGGGACCAUGACCUCCAGGGUCUUUCUAGUCUCACUCAGACCGUAAAGUCUGGACUUUUUACAAGAAUUUGAGGUCUGCAUGCCACUGCUCUCCUGGUCCCUCAGGGAUUCUCUAUUGUGUUCCCUAUCAGGGCUGUCUGCAGUUCCAGCUGGGCACCAUCUAGUUCUUCUGGUCUCAGGCUGAUGUAGUCUGUAAUUUAUGUGGCCCUUUCUAUCUCUUGGGCUCAUAUUUACCUUGCGUCUUUGGUGUUCUUCAUUCUCCUUUGCUCCGUGUUACCUGACACCAGUUGAUGCAUCUUAGAUGGCUGUUUGCUAGCGUUUAAGACCCCAGAUGCCACCCUCCAAAAUGGGAUGCAAAAUGUUUUCUUAAUAGAUUUUAUUAUGCCAGUUAACCUAGAUGUCCCCUGAAACCAUGGUCCCCAAACCUCCACCCCUGCUACGCUGGCCUUCGAAGCGUUCGGUUUAUUCAGGAAACUUCUUUGCUUUUGGUUUAGUCCAGUUGUGCUGACCUCUCCUGUAUUGUGUGUUGUCCUUCCCUUCACCUAGAUUUGGUCUUCUCUGCUAUCUUAUUAGUGAAUACCCCUCUCCUUCCCUCCCUCCCUCCCCCAUCUCGUAACGAUUAAAGAAUAUUCUCUGUUUAAACUAUUUCUUGAGUUCUUAUAAUAGUGGUUUCAUAAAAUAUUUGUCCUUUUGCAGCUGACUAAUUUCUCUCAACAUAAUGCCUUCCAGAUUCGUCCAUGUUAUGAAAUGUUUCACAGAUUCAUUGUUCUUUAUCGAUGCAUAGUAUUCCAUUGUGUGACUAUACCAUAAUUUACUUAUCCAUUUAUCUAUUGAUGGACACCUGGGUUGCUUCCAACUUUUUGCUAUUGUAAACAAUGCUGCAGUGAACAUGAGUGUGCAUACAUCUGUUCACUUGAUGGCUCUUACUUCUCUAGGAUAUAUUCCAAGGAGUGGGAUUGCUGGAUCGUAUGGUAGUUCUGUUUCUAGCUUUUGAAGGAAGUGCCAAAUCGAUUUCCAAAGUGGUUGUACCAUUUUACAUUCCCACCAGCAGUGUAUAAGUGUCCCAAUCUCUCUAUAGCCUCUCCAACAUUUAUUAUUUUGUAUUUUUUGGAUUAAUGCCAGCCUUGUUGGAGUGAGAUGGAAUCUCAUUAUAGUUUUGAUUUGCAUUUCUCUAAUGGCUAAUGAUCAUGAGCAUUUCCUCAUGUAUCUGUUAGCUACCUGAAUGUCUUCUUUAGUGAAGUGUCUGUUCAUAUCCUUUGCCCAUUUUUUAAUUGAAUUAUUUAUCUUUUUGUGGUUGAGUUUUUGCAGUAUCAUGUAGAUUUUAGAGAUCAGCCACUGAUCAGAAAUGUCAUGGCUAAAAACUUUUUCCCAAUCUGUAGGUAAUCUUUUUACUCUUCUAGUGAAGUCUUUGGACGAGCAUAGGUGUUUGACGUUUAGGAGCUCCUAGUUACCUAAUCUCUCUUCUGGUGUUUGUACAGUUCUAGUAAUGUUUUAUAUACUGUUUAUGCCAUGUGUUAGGGCUCUUAGCAUUGUCCCUAUUUUUUCUUCCAUCAUCUUUAUCUUUUUAUGUUUUAUAUUUACGGCUUUGAUCCAUUUUGAACUCAUUUUUGUGCGUAGUGUGAGGUAUGGGUCUUGUUUCAUUUUUCUGCAGAUGGAUAUCCUGUUAUGCCAGCACCAUUUGUUAAACAGACAGUCUUUUCCCCAUUUAAUGGACUUCGGGCCUUUGUCAAAUAUCAGCUGCUCAUAGGUGGAUGGAUUUAUGUCUGGAUUCUCAAUUCUGUUCUGUUGGUCUAUGUAUCUGUUGUUGUACCAGUACCAGGCUGUUUUGACUACUGUGGCAGUAUAACAGGCUCUAAAAUGAGGUAGAGUGAGGCCUCCCACUUUGUCCUUCUUUUUCAGUAAUGCUUUACUUAUCCAAGGCCUCCUUCCCUUCCAUAUGAAGUUGGUGAUUUGCUUCUCCAUCCUAUUAAAAAAUGUCACUGGUAUUUGGAUCUCGAUUUCAUUGUAUCUAUAGAUCGCUUGAGUUGGAAUCGACUCGACGGCACUGGGUUUGGUUUUUGUUUUUUUUAUAGAUCGCUUUGGGCGGAAUAGACAUUUUUACAAUACUGCGUCUUCCUCUCCAUGAGCAAGGUAUGUUUUUCCACUGAUGUAGGUCUCUUUUGGUUUCUUUCAGUAGUGUCUUAUAGUAUUCUUUGUAUAGGUCUUUUACGUCUCUGGUUAGAUUUAUUCCUAAGUAUUUUAUCUUCUUAGGGGCUUUUGGAAAUGGUAUUGAUUUGGUGAUUUCCUCUUCAAUGCUGUCUUUUUUGGUGUAGAGGAAUACAGCUGAUUUAUGUAUGUUUAUCUUGUAUCCUGAUACUUUGCUAAACUCUUCUAUUAGUUUCGGUAGUUUUCUUGAGGAUUCUUUAGGUUUUUCUGUAUAUAAGAUCAUGUCAUCUGCAAACAGAGAUACUUUUACUUCUUCCUCACCAAUCUGGAUGCCUUUUAUUUCUUUAUCUAGCCUAAUAGCUCUGGCUAGGACCUCCAGCACAAUGUUGAAUAAGAGUGGUGGUAAAGGGCAUCCUUGUCUGGUUCCUGUUCUCAAGGGGAAUGCUUUCGGUCUCUCCCCGUUUAGGAUGAUGUUGGCUGUUGGCUUUGUAUAAAUGCCCUUUACAGUGUUUAGGAAUUUUCCUUCUAUUCUUAUUUGGUUAAGAGUUUUUAUCAUGAAUGAGUGUUGAACUUUGUCAAAUGCCUUUUCUGCAUCAGUUGAUAAGAUCAUGUGGUUCUCGUCUUUUAUUUAUGUGAUGGAUUACAUUGAUUGUUUUUCUAAUGUUGAACCAUCCCAGGCAAAGACUUUUAAUCUAAAUGGAAUUGUCACAUCAGAUUUACUGAUCAAGGAGAAAUUAUCUUUGUUUUGCCAGCCAACCUUUUACUUCCCAAACAUUUAGACUCAAAGGAGGUCUUGUGCCACUUCAAGGUCCUUACCUUCUCUCUACAGGCUUCCAAGUCCCAAGAAGCUAUGACUUUUAAAUGGUUUUUCUACUAUACCAGGUUUAUGAACCAACUCUUCCACUGAUGUUGGUCAGAUUUUGUCAAUAGAACCUAUUAAAGUUCAGAUUAUGACCUCUAAACAUUUACCUAAAGUCCCUCAGUACUUUUUAAAAUGGGAGCCAGAGAUAGAUUGACCCCCAUAGUUCAAGAUUUUCUGACCAAGAGGCUCAUUGCUCCUUCCACUAGCCCAUGGAACACUUCAGUACUUUUAGUGAGGAAACCCAGUGGUCUGUGGUUGGAGAUUGUACGAGAUUAGAGGGCACUUACCAUAUUGUCAUCCCAAGAUUUCCUGUGAUGGCUGACUCCCAUUUGCUUUUGUAUAAUGUAACCACUACCAGAUGCAACUGAUUUUACAGUGAUAGAUUUAUGCAGUGUCUUUUCAGUAUCCUAGUGCAUCUAUACCAGUAUCUGUUUGUAGUUACCUGGGAAAAUCAACAAUAUACCUGGAAUGUUGUGCCUCAGGGAUUUACUAUAUCUCCAACCAACUUUUUCUCAGAUUUUAUAUGCUGAUAUGCAGUCCCUGUGGUUUGCUAAGUGAUCUACCUUAUUAUAGUAUGUAGAUGAUCUGGUCUGUUAAAAUUUAUUGCAAACCUGCCUAGAAGAUAUCGUUUUACUUUUACAACAUUUGUCCACUAAAGUGCACAAAGCGUGUAAAGAAAAAUAACAAUUGGUAUUAACAUCUGAUAGAUACUUGGGACAUAUAAUAUUGGCUAAAGUUAUCUCUAUAGACCUCAAAAGAAAGGAUGCCAUUAUGGCCUUUCCUAACCCCAUAACAAAGAAGCAAUGAAGGGGAUUUUGGGGCCUUUGUGGCUACUGCUGCAUGUGGAUUCCUGACUUUUCACUGAUGGUCCAACUCUUAUACCAGUUUUUAAAGGGAUCAGCAGCUGACCCAUUUCAGUUAUCAGAGGAAGGCAUCUAAGCCAUGUCUAAAUUAAAGGAAUCCUUGCUCACUGCUUCAGCCUUAGGAUCUCCGAAUUAUAAUUUGGAUUUUUCUUUGUGUGUUUUUCAAACAGCUGGCAGUGCUUUAGGAAUCCUCACUCAGACUCAUAGGGGCUGACAGAGAUCUCUGGGGUAUUACAGUUUGCAGCAAGAUCCUGUGCCCCAUGUCUCAGGGCAGCGGCUAGAUCUCUGGGGUAUUAGAGUUUGCAACAAGAUCCUGUGCCCCAUGUCUCAGGGCAGCGGCUACCAUGGCCCAAUUAGUAGAGGCUACAUUUGACAUUGUGCUUGAAAAUUUCUUUGAAGUGUGUGUUCUACAUAUUGUAGCUGCUAUUUUAAAUUCUACACAAAUUCAACAUCUGUCGGCUAGCAGAAUAACCCUUUACCAGGUUCUUCUUUUGGCUGCAUCUAGCAUUAGACUGCACACUGUAAAUUCCUUAAACCAGCCACUUUAUUGCCUUCACCUGAUGAUGAUACUGUCCCAUAUGAUUUUCUUAACACCCGGGUAAGACUUACAGGAAUCACAUCACUUCCUGAAUGUGAUCAUUAAGGUUGUGUGUCACCUUGGCUGGGCCAUAAUUCUAAGUCAUCUGGCAGUUAUUAUUAGUUUGGCAGUUGUAUGAUGAUGUGAUCAUUUCCAUGAUGGGAUCUGCUCUGAAUAGUCAGUCAGCUGAAAGGAAGUUUCCUUGGGUAUGUGGCCUGCAUUGAAUAUAAGUGGACUCGCUGGCAAGGCUCAAGGGCUUUUGCUUGCUUUGGAUCCUGCAGCUGGCUCCUGUUCAUCUGACCUCUGGUUCUUGGGACUUGAGCUAACAGCUUACCUGCAGUCUUGUCUGCUGAUCUUGGGAUUUGUGGGUCUCUGCAGCUUGUGAGCAAGAGCCCUGCUGUCUCACCUGCUGAUCUUGGCUUCAUCAGCCCCUGUGGCUACACGAAUCAAGAGAAGCCUCCAGCCUGACGUACAGAUUUGGGACUUUUCAGCCUCUACAGCCAUGUGUGACAUUUCCUUGAUAUAAAUCUCUCUCUCUCUCUCUCUAUGCUUUACUGGUUUUGCUUCUCUAGAGAACCUAGCCUAAGACGUUUGGUACUGAGAUUCAUUUUAGAGAAACGAAAUUGUAAGGGUGAAUUUUCUAAAUUGGUUCUCAGGUCUAGUUAGUGUUAAAGAUGUUGAUGACUCUGCUUCUAGUAGUAAAGAGGACACUGCUAAUCCAUGAUGUGAGGUGGCGAUAAAAAUAUGCAGAAUAUCACCACCAGUAGAUUAGGUAUUGGUGAAAGGCAAGGCUGUCGGUGAUCGCAUGUGUGAUAUCUUCAUACAACGUUGUCAUAAUGAGAAGCAUAAGGAAGCUGAUUGGUGAGUCCUACUUUUGCUGGAUAAAAUGGUGAAAGAAAGAGAUGAGCUCAGGGCUUCAGACUGAAGGCUCAAGUGCUGCAUAAACAACCUCAAAGUUUGCUCUCAUGCCUUGAAAGUAAGCCUUAUUUCUUGUAGUAACAGAGCUGAUAUUGCCAAAAACCAAACCAUGAGUCUUAUUCUAAGAGUGGCUGAAUUAUAAUACCAACUCAACUGCCAAUCUCAAGAGGAGUCUGCAGUUAAAGUGAGGGCAUUGGCUGGGAAGAAAUGGGAUCCUGAAGCUUCGGAUGGGAAUAUAUGGGCAGAUAAUCAGGAAGCUGGGGACACUAAGCCCCUAAAUUCCAUUGAAUCACUCCUGCCAGCAGAACCAGCCCUCUCACUCCCUUCUGAAGAGAUUAUUCCAUCUGUGUCUGCUAAGCCAUCCUCCCCAGUAAAACCAUUAGCAUCUCCACCCCCGUCUGAUGAGAUUAAUCCGGCUGUGUCUAAACAGUCUUUGUCUGAGUCAUUGUCUGGGGCACCACUGGGGCAGAUGGCUUACAAGACAAUCCUGAAUGUUCUCAAAACACAUCCCCACCACCCAUUUUGACUUCUUGACCUAUAACUAGACUUAAGCCCCAGUGAGCCCCAAAAGGUGAAAUACAAAGUGUGACCCAGGACAAGGUACGUUACACUCCAAAAGAACUGCUUGACUUUUCUAUUAUGUACAUUCAGAAACCGGGGGGAAUAUGUGUGGGAAUGGCUGUUAAGAGUAUAGAAUAGUGAUACAAGGAACAUAAAGAUGGAUUAGUCUGAGUUUAUUGAUAUGGGCCCAGUAAGCACAGAUUCUUCACUCAUUUUUUCAGCUCAAAAGGUUAGGAAAGGAUCUAAUGGUUUAUUUGGUUAGCGUCUUAGUUAUCUAGUGCUGCUAUAACAGAAAUACCCCAAGUGCAUGGCUUUAAAAAACAGAAGUUUAUUCUCUCACACUUUAGGAGGCUAGGAGUACAAAUUCUUGGUACCACCUCCAGGGGAGUGCUUUCUCUUUCUGGUGGCUCUGGAUGAAGGUCCUUGUCAUCCAUCUUCCUCUGGUCUGGGAGCUGUUCAGUGCAGGGGCCCUGGGUCCAAAGGAUGCACUUUGCUCCUGGUACUACCUUCUUGGUGGUGUGAAGUCCUCCUGUCUCUCUGCUCACUUCUCUGUAUUAUAUCUCAAGAGAAAUUGACUUAAAACAACCUAAUCUUGUAUAUCAAGUCCUGUCUCAUUAACAUAACUGCCUCUAAUCCUGCCUCAUUAACAUCAUAGAGGUGAGAUUUACAGCACAUAGGAAAUCAGGUCAAAUCACAAAAUGGUGAGCAAUCACAAUACUGGAGUCAUGGCCUAGCCAAGUUGACACAUAUUUUUGAGGGACACAAUUCAAUCCACGAAAGUUGGGUCACUGAAGCAUGGAUUACGUGGUGGCCUACAGUAAAUCAAGCUGAAGUACUAGACCUGCCUUGGUAUACUAUAGAACAAGGUAUCCAAAGGCUUAGGGAAAUUGGCAUGUUAGAGUGGACUUAGCAGUUUAGGAAAACAGACCCACACCUGGACUGCCCAGAGGACAAAUCUUUUAACAUCAGUGAGGAACAAAAUUGUGAAGUGAGACCCAGCAUCCUGAAAGAUUGCUAUGAUUGCUAUUUUAUAUAAGUCAGAUUAGAUGGUGAGAACUUCCCUAAUUAAAUGAAGACACCUAACUACCAUGGGUCUGAUUGGACCCCAUAGGAGUAGGGGCCAAGUUGUGGUACUCAGUCAACAAAGAUAAGGUGGCCAUCGUUACCUUAAUGAACAGUGGAGUUAAAGCAGUAAUCAGAAUAGUCUGACUCAUAUGCACUUAAGGCAUUGGCUACUUAGUCAUGGUGUCCCUAGGAGUGAAAUAGGGAAUGUACUAAAUAUUUGCUUGACCUGUUCAAGCUGAAGAAUUCUAUGUCUAGUGAACACCAGUCUAACUCAUAUCACCAGAAUAGAGAGUAACAGCCCUUCAUUCAACUCUCACACUUGAGAGAGUUUAAAUACCCACAACCCCUUGAAUGAAGGGGAGGCCAGGUCCCCUUGAGGAAGGACCCUCACUACACUUCCAAAAAUUUAUACUAUGGCCUUCUAGGAGAGUGACUGUUCAUUGGGGAAAAGGAAGUAAUCAGAAUUUUCAGGGAUUAGUGGAUACUGGCUGUGAACUGACACUAAUUCCAGGAGGCCUAAAAUAUCACUGUGGCCCACUAGUCAGUGUGGGAGCAUGUGGAGGUCAGGUUAUUAAUGGGGUCUUAGCUAAUGUCUGGAAACCCUGGUGGCGUAGUGAUUAAGUGCUACGGCUGCUAACCAAAGGUUCAGCAGUUCGAAUCCACCAGGCGCUCCUUGGAAACUCUAUGGGGCAGUUCUACUCUGUCCUAUAGGGUCACUAUGAGUCAGAAUCGACUUGACAGCACUGGGUUUGAUUUUUGUUUUUUUGGUAGCUAAUGUCUGUCUCACUGUAAGUCCAGUGGGUCCCUGAACCCAUCUUGCAGUGAUUGCCCCAGUUCCAGAAUGCAUAAUUGGAAUAGGCAUACUCAGCCACUGGCAGAACCUCCACAUUGGAUCCCUGACAAAUGGAAUAAGGGCUAUUAUGGUAGAAAAAGCCAAGUAGAAGCCAUUGAAACUGCCACUACCUAGGAAAAUACUUAACUGAAACCAAUACCACAUUCCUAGAGGGGUUGCAGAGAUUACCGCCACCAUCAAGGACUUGAGAGAUGCAGGGGUGGUGAUUUCCAUCGCAUCACCAUUGAACUCACCUAUUUGGCCUGUGCAAAGACGGAUGGAUCUUGGAGAAUGACAGUGGAUUACCAGAAACUUAUCCAGGUGGUGACUCCAAAUGCAGCUGCUGUUCCAGAUGUAGCUUCAUUGCUUGAGCAAGUUAAGGCACCUGGUACCUGGUGUCCAGCUGUUGGUAUGGCUAAUGCCUUUCCUCCAUACCUGCUUCGAAGGACCACCAGAAGCAGUUUGCCUUCAGCUAGCAAGGCCAGCAAUACACCUUCAGUUGCCCACCUCUGAGCUAUAUCAACUCUCCCACUCUAUGUCAUAAUUUAGUCCAAAGGGACCUUGAUCGCCUUUCCCUUCCACAAGACGGCAUGCUGGUCCUUUAUGUUGAUGAUUGUCAUGGAUUGAAUUGUGUCCCCCCAAAAUACCUGUCAACUUGGCUAGUUCAUGAUUCCCAGUAUUGUGCUGUUGUCCAUCAUUUUGUCACCCGGUGUGAUUUUCCUAUGUGUUGUAAAUGCUACCUCUGUGAUGUUAAUGAGGUAGGAUUACCCGCACCUAUGUUAAUGAGGCAGAGCUCAAUCUACAAGAUUAGGUUGUGUUUUAAGUCAAUCUCUUUUGAGGUACAAACGAGAGAAAUGCUGGAGAAGCUCAAUACAAUCAAUCACAAGAAGGCCACGGGCCGACCACAGAACAGACCAUCAAUUACUCAUAUGCAAAUUCAAGCUAAGUUGAAGAAAAUUAGAGCAAGCCCAGGAGAGCCAAAAUACAGCCUUGAAUAUAUCUCACCUGAAUUUGGAGACCAUCUCAAGAACAGAUGUGAUGCAUUGAACACUAAUGCCUGAAGACCAGAGAAGUUGUGGAAUGACACCAAGGAUAUCAUACAUGAAGAAAGCAAGAGGUCAUUAAAAAGACAGGAAAGAAAGAAAAGACCAAAAUGGAUGUCAGAAGAGACUCUGAAAGUUGUUCUUUAGAGUAGCUAAAGCAAAUGAAAGAAAUUUAUGAAGUAAAAGAGCUGAACAGAAGAUUUCAAAUGGCAGCUUGAGAAGACAAAGUAAAGUAUUAUAAUGACAUGUGCAAAGACCUGGAGGUAGAAAAUCAAAAGGGAAGAACACGGUUGGCACUUCUCAAACUGAAAGAACUAAAGGAAAAAUUCCAGCCUUGAGUUGGAAUACUGAAGGAUUCUACGGGAAAAAUAUUAAACGUUGCAGGAAGCAUCAAAAGAAGAUGGAAGGAAUACACAGAGUCACUAUACCAAAAAGAUUUUGUUGAUCCAGGAUGUAGCAUAUGAUGAAGAACUGAUGGCACUGAAAGAAGAGGUCCAAGCUGCACUGCAGCCAUUGGUGUAAAACAAGGUGCCAGGAAUUGAUGGAAUACCAAUUAAGAUGUUUCAACAAAUGGAUGAAGCACAGUAAGUGCUCACUCACCUAUGCCAUGAAAUUUAGAAGACAGCUACAAGGCCAAGCAACUGAAAGAGAUCCAUAUUUGUUCCCAUUCCAAAGAAAGGUGAUCUAACAGAAUGUGGAAAUUAUAGAACCAUAUGAUUAAUAUCACACAGGAGUAAAAUUUUGCUGAAGAUCAUUCAAAAGCAGCUGCAGCAGCACAUUGACAGAGAACUGCCAGAAAUUCAAGCCAGAUUCAGAAGAGGAUGUGGAAAGUGGGAUAUCACUGCUGAUGUCAGAUGAAUCAUGGCUGAAAGCAGAGGAUUCCAGAAAGAUGUUUACCUGUAUUGUAUGUAAAGGCAUUUGACUGUGUGGAUCAUAACAAAUUAUGGGUAACCUUGGGAAGAAUGGGAAUUCCAGAACACGUAAUUGUGCUCAUGAGGAAUGUGUACUUACACCAAGAGGCUGUCACUGGAACAGAACAAGGGGAUACUGCAUGGUUUAAAGCCUGGAAAGGUGUGUGUCAGGCUUGUAUCCUUCACCAUACUUAUUCGGUCUGUAUUUUGAGCAAAUGAUCCAAGAAGGCUGAGUAUAUGAAGAAGAACGUGGCAUCAGGAUUGGAGGAAGACUCAUUAACAACCUUCGGCAUGCAGAUUACACAACCCUCCAUCUUGAAAGUGCAGAGCACUUACUGAUUGUUAUGGAUUGAAUCGUGUCCCCCCAAAAUGUGUGUCAGUUUGGCUAGGCCAUGAUUUCCAGUACUGUGUGAUUGUCCACCAUUUUGUCAUCUGAUGUGAUUUCCUAUGUGUUGUAAAUCCUAUGACUAUGAUGUUAAUGAGGUGGAUUAGCAGCAGUUAUGUUGAUGAGAUCUACAAGAUUGGAUUGUGUCUUAAGUCAAUCUUUUUUGAGAUAUGAAAGAGAGAAGCCAGCAGGGACAGGGGAACCUCAUACCAUCAAGAAAGCAGCACCGGGAACAGAGUAUGUCCUUUGGACCUGGGGUUCCUGUGUGGAGAAACUCCAAGUCCAGGGGAAGACUGAUGACAAGGACCUUCCUCCAGAGCCAACAGAGAAAGCCUUCCCCUGGAGCUGAGGCCCUGAAUUUGGACUUCUAGCCUACUAAUCUGUGAGAGAAUAAACUUCUGUUUGACAAAGCCAUCCACUUGUGGUAUUUCUGUUACAGCAGCACUAGAUGACUAAGACACUGAUGAAGAUCAAAGACCAGAGCCUUCAGUAUGGAUUAUACGCCUCAACAUAAAGAAAACAAAAACCCUCGCAACUGGACCAAUAAGCAACAGUGCGAUAAACAGAGAGGAUAUUGAGUUGUCAAGGAUUUAAUUUUACUUGGAUUCACAAUAAAUGUGGAAAAAUUCAUUUCCAUUGUCAUAUUAUCUACGUUUCUCUUGCUCAAUAGCCAUAUGUGGCUGAUGGCUACCUUAGACUGUGCAGAUAUGGAACACUGCCAUCAUCAUCAGUAGAUCUUCCAGAAAAUUCUAUUGAACAGCACAGCUUUGGACAGAAAGGCUGAGUUUUCUGUUUGAUAAAAGUAAGCUGUAGUAUAUAUAUUUUAGCCAGUUGCUAUGUUAAAAAUCUUAUAUAUUAUAGUUUUAAUGAAAUGUUUUUAGGUACAAAUAGUGGUGUAUAUUUGCUUGCCAAUCUGUGGUUAAGAAGAUGGUAAUAAACUCGUGUUAUUAAAAAAAUAAAAUUCAGUAUACUAAAAGGAAAAAAAAAGAGAGGCAAUAUUUAUUUUCCCCUUUAAAUGAAAAAUUUAAAAUUUUCUUUUGCCUCAUUGCAUGCAAAAGCUGGACAAUGAAUAAGGAAGACCAAAGGCGAUUUUAUGCCUUUUGAAUUAUUGUGUUGGUGAAGAAUAUUGAAUAUACCAUGGACUGCCAGAAGAAUAAACAAGUCUGUCUUGGAAGCCAGAGUGCUCCUUGGAAGCAAGGCUAGUGAGACUUUGCCUCACUUACUUUGGACAUGUGUUCAGGAGAGACCAGUCCCUGGAGAAGAAUAUCAUUCUGGGUAAGGUAGAGGUCAGCAAAAAAGAGGAAGACCCUAGACAAGAUGGAUUGACACAGUGGCUGCAACAAUGGGCCCAAACAAAGCAACGAUUGUGAGGAUGGAGCAGGACUGGGCAGUGUUUUGUUCUGUUGUACAUAGGGUUGCUAUGAGCUGGAACCAACACGAUGGCCCCUGACAACAUAACAAAAACAACAGAUAGGAAAGAAUGUAAUAUCAGAGUUGAAACAAUUUUUAACUUUCAUGUAGGCAAGGCUAAUUGGGCUCACUUUACUACUGAGAACUGUUUGGCUCACAGGGGACCCUCAGUCAUUUGUUGAAUGAAAGGCAACAAAGUCAUGCUUUGCCUUGGAUCUCUUCUAAUUCAGAAUAAUACAGCAUUAUGGAAGUAAGUGAGAUAGCUCUGAGAGGGCCUCAUAAAUAACGUGGUGUGUGAGAAGCCAGUGUAGAGUCAGGCCAGAGGAAAAAUAUGUUACUCAGAGUUGAAGCUGCUUUCACUAAGUGUAAGUGCAGAGGAAAUGUGGCUGAAGGUGAGCUUAGGACAGAUUUUUCUACCCACUAUCCAAGCCAGGCAGAGUAACCCACAGAUUUGAGAGGAAUUCAAAAUGAAAAACCAAGCCCAUUGUCAUCAGGUCGAUUCCCACUCAGGGCGCGCUAUGGAAUGGAGUGGAAUUGCUCCAUAGGGUUUCUAAGGCGUGGCUGAUAGAUUUGAACUGCCAACCUUUUGGAGAAAAAAAAAGAAAAAUUUGAAAGAAUUUUCAAUGGCCAAUUUACUUACACGCUUUAAUAAAACAAUACACCCAAAACAGAGUGCUGUUGUAUUUAGAGAGUCCCUGGGUGGUGUAAAUGGUUAAUGUGUUUGGCUGCUAAUCUAAAGCUUGGAGUUUCAGGUCCACCCAGAGGCACCCCAGAAGAAAGGCUGGAGGACCUACUUAGGAAAAAUCAGCCAUUGAAAGCCCUAUGGAGCACAAUUCUGUUCUUUUUUUUGUGUGUGUGUGCUUUUAGUGAAAGUUUACAAAUCAAGUCAGUCCCUCAUAUAAAAAUGUAUAUACACUUUGCUAUAUACUCCUAGUUGCUCUCCCCCUAAUAAGACAGCAUACUUCUUCUCUCCACCCUGUAUUUCCAUGUCCAUUCAGCCAGCUUCUGUCUCCCUCUGCCUUCUCAUCUCAUCUCCCCUCCAGACAGGAACUGCCCACAUAGUCUCAUAUGUCUACUUGAUCCAAGAAGCUCACUCUUCACCAGUAUCAUUUUCUAUCUUAUAGUCCAGUCCAAUCUCUGUCUGAAGAGUUGGCUUUGGGAAUGGUUCUAGUCUUCGGCUAACAGAAGGUCUGGGGACCAUGACCUCCAAGGUCCUUCUAGUUUCAGUCAGACCAUUAAGUCUAGUCUUUUUAUGAGAAUUUGAGGUUUGCAUCCCACUGCUCUUCUGCUCCCUCAGGGUUUCCCUGUUGUGUCAGGGGAGUCAUCGGGUAUAGCUGUGCACCAUCUAGUUCUUCUGGUCUCAGGCUGAUGUAGUCCCUGGUUUAUGUGGCCCUUUCUGUCCCUUGGGCUCAUAAUUACCUUGUGUCUUUGGUGUUCUUCAUACUCUGUGGAACACAAUUCUAUUCUGAUACCCGUGGGUUGCCCUGAGUUAGAAUUGACUUGAUACCAACCGUUUUUUUUUUUUUUUUUAAUUGUUUACUUUGCCACAGAACUGUUUUGGGUUUUGUUAAAUCUGAGUGUGUCUAUGGAAAAAAAAAAAACAUGUUGUAUAUGUGAAUGUUGCCUGUUACACAAGUUGAUGGGGGGAUAAAGGCCCCCUCUCCUGGAGUGGUCUCAUAACAUGACCCUGCCUAACUCUGCUGUAUUGGGCUAGACUGCGGGUAGUACUGGGAUAAGUGUGAUGAAAGUUACUGGUCCUCUGGCACCAUCUCUGAGAGCAGUGCCAGAGCUAGACAGACCUCAGACAGAACCCUGGCAGCCACUCUACUUUGCAUGCAGACAGAUGUCAUUUGUUACCCGGUGGUCACCUGUGGCUAAAUCCCCAACCGACUCAGUGUUACCGCAGGUUCUGGCCACAAGGGAAGCCAUAUAAGCCUCUAUUUCUCUGAGUUUCAUUGUAAGAAGAAAGGAUGUGCUUCAGUAAAGAUUAAAAUAUAUGCAAUGCUUAAUUUCCAACACCCUUGAGAAAUGAAAAGCCAUUUUGUUUGCAGAGAAUUAAAAUGUAUAACUUAGCUUUCUUAAAAAUUUGUCACAUGUACUGAUAAGAUUACAAUUUGUUUUGACACUGCUUUUACAUUUACUAGUUGAAUGUGGAAACGAUGGAACUAUAAGGAAUGUACUGCCUCUUAGGUUCUGCCAGUUUGAGAGUGAAGCAGGAACAAUUUAGGAGAAGGGGAAAUCAUCCACCCUGCAGUUAGGCUUCUGGGCUUCGGUACUUGCAUGGCUUUGCAGAGAAGCAGAAAUGACUCAUUUUCAGAGGCGCCCCCCACCUCCCUGCUGCUCCCCCCCGCCUUAAUUCAUGAAGUGUAAUUGUGUUCCC